GACGAACGCUGGCGGCGUGCCUAAUACAUGCAAGUAGAACGCUGAAGGAGGAGCUUGCUUCUCUGGAUGAGUUGCGAACGGGUGAGUAACGCGUAGGUAACCUGCCUGGUAGCGGGGGAUAACUAUUGGAAACGAUAGCUAAUACCGCAUAAUAGCAGUUGUUGCAUGACAACUGUUUGAAAGGUGCAAUUGCACCACUACCAGAUGGACCUGCGUUGUAUUAGCUAGUUGGUGGGGUAACGGCUCACCAAGGCGACGAUACAUAGCCGACCUGAGAGGGUGAUCGGCCACCCUGGGACUGAGACACGGCCCAGACUCCUACGGGAGGCAGCAGUAGGGAAUCUUCGGCAAUGGAAGGAAGUCUGACCGGGCAACGCCGCGGGAGUGAAGAAGGUUUUCGGAUCGUAAAGCUCUGUUGUAAGAGAAGAACGAGUGUGAGAGUGGAAAGUUCACACUGUGACGGUAUCUUACCAGAAAGGGACGGCUAACUACGUG
rnacentral:rRNA from 1 species